GGUCCAUUGGAGCAGUGGUUUAUCUCGACGGAGGAGAUCGUGGGUUCAAAUCUCACAUGGACCG
rnacentral:tRNA from 1 species